rnacentral:lncRNA from 1 species
GCAGAGUGUCCCACCAGGACCGCCCAGCCCCCUCCCCCCCCAUCCAACGCUCCAUGCCUUUCUGUUGUGCUUCCCCCAACUGUCAGGUCUGUAGAUAAGGGGCCACCGAGCACAGGGAUGACAGAGGAACGUUCAGGAAAGGUUUCCUGUGUGAGAGGCACCAGGGCGGUGGGCGUCAUCAUGAAUGAAACAAAAAGACUGAGAGAGAAGGGAUUCUGA